UGGCGGACGGGUGAGUAAUGUCUGGGAAACUGCCUGAUGGAGGGGGAUAACUACUGGAAACGGUGGCUAAUACCGCAUAACGUCGCAAGACCAAAGAGGGGGACCUUCGGGCCUCUUGCCAUCGGAUGUGCCCAGAUGGGAUUAGCUAGUAGGUGGGGUAAAGGCUCACCUAGGCGACGAUCCCUAGCUGGUCUGAGAGGAUGACCAGCCACACUGGAACUGAGACACGGUCCAG
rnacentral:rRNA from 1 species